GUUUACGGCCAUACCACCCUGAACACGCCCAAUCUCAUCUGGUCUUGGAAGCUAAGCAGGGUUGGGCCUGGUUAGUACCUGAUGGGAGACCACCUGGGAAUAUCAGGUGCCGUACGCC